rnacentral:rRNA from 1 species
GACGUAGGGCGCGAGCGUUAAUCGGAAUUACUGGGCGUAAAGCGUGCGUAGACGGUUAUCUAAGUCGGAUGUGAAAACCCAGGGCUCAACCCUGGGCCUGCAUUCGAUACGGGCAGACUAGAGUUCGGUAGGGGAGACGUGGAAUUCCUGGUGUAGCGGUGAAAUGCGCAGAUAUCAGGAGGAACACCGGUGGCGAAGGCGGGUCUCUGGGCCGAUACUGACGCUGAGGAGCGAAAGCGUGGGGAGCGAACAGG